AAAAUUUCCUGAGUAACAGGCCCGCUGCUUUUCCUCUUCUCCACCGAUUAACUCUGUAACCACGACCCUACACCAUUGACGCAUCCUCUCCCCGCUCAAUCAAUGUCCACUUGAACGCUCUCGCUUCUUCUGCCCACGAUUGAGAAAUUAUUUCACGGGAAACUGAUGGAGGUAUUGGAGAAGCCGCGCAGAAUAUCCCCUUCCCAUUAUAAACUCCUUGAUGCGCCUCAGCUUCACAUCGACGCAUCAUUCUCCACUACGAGCGGGCAUAAGCUUCACAACUCAUACCAGUGCCGCUUGUGAGCCCCUCCAUCCCGUAUUCUCCAUGUUCCCUUUCAUCUAUUGCGAAUUUACCUCACAGAUUUGAACUUCCUCAGGUUCUUGCAAUUUGGAUGCCGAAGGAAUCGUCUCCUGUGCUAUGUGUAGGCUUCCCAAUUGUUGCUAAUCUGAGUAAUUGUUUGCUUCAUAUACAUCUGAACUCAGAUCGGCGUGAUUGCACUCAUAGCCUUAGAUAUUCUUUCUUGAUUGGAUAGGGGCUAGGAGCCUAUGAUAUGCUCACGUUUCACAUUCUUUUCUAAUUUCGAUUUGUUUGUUUGCUUCCUCUACAUCUGUAUUUAGUUUGCUCGAUUAACACAUAGCCUUGCACUUUGAAUUUUUUUUGCUUGACUUUCAUAGCCUGGGAUGUGCUCAAACUAAUAGAGAUGGGUCGUGAGGAAAGGUGAGAAGAAAAUAAAGGCACUGACAAUUCAUCAUCUACUUCUUGCCAGGAAAAUGGAGAACGGAGAGAUCAGAACACAUGGACAUAUGCGUGGGAAACUGAAACAUAGCUAGGGACACCAGCCACAAGCAACAUAUGCGGGGAUGGCAUUUGACCACGGCGGCGUUGAUCUUUGGACAACCUGAUCAUCUACAUUUGCAUCGGAGAUAUCUUCUACACCAUCUCAAUGCAAGCAACAUCCUAAUCUUUGAUCUUGAAUGUUACAGCAUUUGGAUUGGAUCUGUAUUUGUAUUCUUUUUCCCAUGCUAGAUCAUCCACAUGACAAGGUGCAGAUAUGGAUUUUCAAGGGGAUUUUUAUAUUGUUGUAUGAUUAUAUAUAUGUAUGGCUGAUUGUUGGGUUGAUAAAUGAUCCACGGGGCAAGGUGCGGACUUAGUUAUUUACCAAGUUUUGCUC